rnacentral:misc_RNA from 1 species
UUUCCGUAGGUGAACCUGCGGAAGGAUCAUUAUUGAAAUAAACCUGAUGGGUUGUUGCUGGCUCUCUAGGGAGCAUGUGCACGCCUUGUCAUCUUUAUAUCUCCACCUGUGCACCUUUUGUAGACCUUUCAGGUCUAUGUCGCUUCAUUUAUACCCCAAUGUAUGUUAAUAGAAUGUUGUGCCUAUAUUAUAAUAUAUACAACUUUCAGCAACGGAUCUCUUGGCUCUC